CCUACGGGAGGCAGCAGUGGGGAAUAUUGGGCAAUGGGCGCAAGCCUGACCCAGCAACGCCGCGUGAAGGAAGAAGGCUUUCGGGUUGUAAACUUCUUUUGUCAGGGAAGAGUAGAAGACGGUACCUGACGAAUAAGCCACGGCUAACUACGUGCCAGCAGCCGCGGUAAUACGUAGGUGGCAAGCGUUGUCCGGAUUUACUGGGUGUAAAGGGCGUGUAGCCGGGUUGACAAGUCAGAUGUGAAAUCCUGCGGCUUAACCGCAGUACUGCAUUUGAAACUGUUGAUCUUGAGUACUGGAGAGGCAGACGGAAUUCCUAGUGUAGCGGUGAAAUGCGUAGAUAUUAGGAGGAACACCAGGGGCGAAGGCGGUCUGCUGGACAGCAACUGACGGUGAGGCGCGAAAGCGUGGGGAGCAAACAGGAGUAGAUACCCGAGUAGUC
rnacentral:rRNA from 1 species